AGGGUUUUCUUCCAUCGCUUGAGG
rnacentral:siRNA from 1 species